rnacentral:rRNA from 1 species
AGUGAACGCUGGCGGUAGGCCUAACACAUGCAAGUCGAACGGCAGCACAGAGGAGCUUGCUCCUUGGGUGGCGAGUGGCGGACGGGUGAGGAAUACAUCGGAAUCUACUCUGUCGUGGGGGAUAACGUAGGGAAACUUACGCUAAUACCGCAUACGACCUACGGGUGAAAGCAGGGGAUCUUCGGACCUUGCGCGAUUGAAUGAGCCGAUGUCGGAUUAGCUAGUUGGCGGGGUAAAGGCCCACCAAGGCGACGAUCCGUAGCUGGUCUGAGAGGAUGAUCAGCCACACUGGAACUGAGACACGGUCCAGACUCCUACGGGAGGCAGCAGUGGGGAAUAUUGGACAAUGGGCGCAAGCCUGAUCCAGCCAUACCGCGUGGGUGAAGAAGGCCUUCGGGUUGUAAAGCCCUUUUGUUGGGAAAGAAAUCCAUCUGGUUAAUACCCGGGUGGGAUGACGGUACCCAAAGAAUAAGCACCGGCUAACUUCGUGCCAGCCGCCGCGGUAACAC